rnacentral:rRNA from 1 species
UGGUUUUUAAUUGAUGCUAAAAGAAUGGAAUUACAGGGAAAAGUUUUUUUAAAUUUAAUAAUUGAAGUUAUUUUAAUUUGUGAAGAAACAAUUAUAUAAAUUAAAGACAAGAAGACCCUAAGAAUUUAAGAAUUUUUAUUAAUAUAUUAUAUGUAUAUAUAUAUAUAAAUAAAAUUCUUAGUUGGGGCAACUAAAAAAUAUAUUAAACUUUUUUUUUAAAAAAAUGACCCAUUAUUAAUGAUAAUAUGAAAAAAAUACUCUAGGGAUAACAGCGUAAUAAUUUUUGAUAGAUCUUAUAGACAAAAUAGUUUGCGACCUCGAUGUUGGAUUAGGAUACUUUUUUAAUGAAGAUGUUAAAAAAAGAAGUUUGCUCAACUUUUAAAUUCCUACA